UUCGGUACAUCGGUGACAGGUGUGCAUGGUUGUCGUCAGCUCGUGUCGUGAGAUGUUGGGUUAAGUCCCGCAACGAGCGCAACCCCUAUUGUUAGUUGCCAUCAUUCAGUUGGGCACUCUAAGGUGACUGCCGGCUAAAAGUCGGAGGAAGGUGGGGAUGACGUCAAAUCAUCAUGCCCUUAUGACCUGGGCUACACACGUGCUACAAUGGGCGGUACAAAGGGUCGCGAACCCGCGAGGGGGAGCCAAUCCCAAAAAAGCCGCUACUCAGUUCGGAUUGCAGGCUGCAACUCGCCUGCAUGAAGCCGGAAUCGCUAGUAAUCGCGGAUCAGCAUGCCGCGGUCGAAUACGUUCCGGGCCUU
rnacentral:rRNA from 1 species